GGAGCAGGCGGCGGCCCGGCGAUGGCGGCGCACCGCGGUGGUGGCGUCUGCUGCGCCUGGGUCCAGCGGCCGAGGGAGCGAGAGAGAUAGAGGAGAAGAGAGGGGGAAUGAGUUCAGGGAGAGAGGAGAGGGGCCGACGCCGGCCUCCGUCCAGCGGGCAUCGCCGUCGGGGCGGCGGCGGCAGAGCACCGAUAGAGAGAGAGAGAGAGGGUGCGUCUGUGGAGUGUGUGUGUG
rnacentral:lncRNA from 1 species